CCACAAACAGGAAGUUAAUAUCCCCAACCAUUCCCAUUUUAUUAAGGUGUAUCCAUAUAAAUUGCCCACCCUGUAUAUAUAUAUAUAUAUAUAUAUGUGUGUGUGUUAAUAUAAUUAAAAAAUAAUAAUAAUAAUAAUGUUAAUGCCUUGUACUCAAAUAUAAAAAAAAUAAUAAUCGCCCCUUAUCAUUUUGCACUCAAUACCCCAUAAUGACAAAGUGAAAAAAUGAUGUUAGAAAUAUUUGCCAAUUUAAAAUAUUGCUUGGACAUAAGUAUUUAGACCCUUUAAAUCAGAUCGCUUUUAAUAACAUUCCAGAAAAUAAAAUUGCAUACAUAAACAUAAAAAAAUCAUUUUGUCCAGUCUGAGGUUCGAGCACUCUGAAUUAGGUUUUAUUAAGAUUAUCUCAGUACUUUACCCCCAUUAAGAAGGACCUGUGUCGUUAAAUAGCUUUGUGUGCCUUGAUCAAACACUUUUUUACAGUUUCUUGAUAUGCCCUCCCAUUCCUGAGAUAUGUGGGGUUAUAGUUUAUGGCCGUGAACUUAAUUUAAAAAAAUAGGAGUGAAUAUGUGAUAGGCAGGAUUAUAGAGGCAUUGGGUGUAAAUGUCUUAACACCCAUUGACUGUAUAAUACCGCCCGUCACCUGAUAUUCCCUCAUAUUAUCAAGUAAGUUCAGGCCAAAAAGUUCAAUCUUUGUUUCAUCAGUCCAGAGAAUAGUGUUUCAAGUGUCUUUUCCUCAGGAUAGGCUUCUUUCUGGCCAUCUGCCAUAAAGCUCAGAUUAAAUUCGAAGGAUAUUCGAAGGUCAGCCAUAGUGACCAUUGGCUUCUUGAUCAUCUCUCUUACAUGGCUCUUCUCUUCCAAUUACUUAGAAAGAACCCUGGUUGUUCGAAUUCUUCAAUUAAAAAAAUUAUAGAGGCAUCUGUACUCUUGGGAACUUUAGUGCAGCAGAUUAUUAUCAUUUUUUUCUGCAGAUCCGUGCAUCUAUACAAUCCGGUCUCUGAGCUCUACAGGCAGUUCUUUCUAUCUCAUGGCUUGGUUUUUGCUCUGAUAUGUUGUCAACUGAGACCUUAUAUAAAUAAGAGCGUUCUUUCAAAAUCAUGUCUAAUUAAUUGAAUUUACUACAGGUGGACUCCAAUCAAGGUUAGAAAAAAACAUAGAUGGUCAAGAAAAGAAACAAAGAUGAUUAACCCCUUAAGGACUCAGCCCAUUUUGGCCUUAAGGACUCAGACAAUUACAUUUUUACGUUUUCAUUUUUUCCUCCUCGCCUUCUAAAAAUCAUAACUCUUUUAUAUUUUCAUCCACAGACUAGUAUGAGGGCUUGUUUUUUGUGUGACCAGUUGUCCUUUGUAAUGACAUCACUCAUUAUAUCAUAAAAUGAAUGGCGCAACCAAAAAACACUUUUUGUGGGGAAAUUAAAAAGAAAAACGCAAUUUUGCUAAUUUUGGAAGGUUUUGUUUUCACGCCGUACAAUUUAUGGUAAAAAUGACGUGUGUUCUUUAUUCUGAGGGUCAAUACGAUUAAAAUGAUACCCAUUAUUACAUACUUUUAUAUUAUUGUUGUGCUUAAAAAAAAAAUCACAAACUUUUAAACCAAAUUAGUACGUUUAUAAUCCCUUUAUUUUGAUGACCUAUAACUUUUUAAUUUUUCCGUAUAAGCGGUGGUGUGAGGGCUCAUUUUUUGCGCCAUGAUCUGUACUUUUUUUUGAUACCACAUUUGCAUAUAAAAAAAUUUUAAUACAUUUUUUAUAAUUUUUUUUUAUAAAAUGUAUUAAAAAAGUAGCAAUUUUGGACUUUUUUUUUUUUUUUUACGUUCACGCCGUUCACCGUACAGGAUCAUUAACAUUUUAUUUUAAUAGUUCGGACAUUUACGCAUGCGGCGAUACCAAAUAUGUCUAUAAAAUGUAUUUUUACGCUUUUUGGGGGUAAAAUAGGAAAAAACGGAUGUUUUACUUUUUUAUUGGGGGAGGAGAUUUUUCACUUUUUUUUUACUUUUACAUUUUUUUACAUUUUUUUUUACACUUGAAUAGUCCCCAUAGGGGACUAUUCAUAGCAAUACCAUGAUUGCUAAUACUGAUCUGUUCUAUGUAUAGAACAUAGAACAGAUCAGUGUUAUCGGCUAUCUUCUGUUCUGGUCUGCUCGAUCUUAGACCAGAGCAGAAGACGCCGGAAGCAGGAAGGUGAGGGGACCUCCGUGCGGCGUUCUGAAUGAUCGGAUCCCCGCAGCAGCGCUGCGGGCGAUCAUUCAUUUAAAUCGUGCACUGCUGCAGAUGCCGGGAUCUGUAUUGAUCCUGGCACCUGAGGGGUUAAUGGCGGACGCCCGCGAGAUCGCGGGCGUCGGCCAUUGCCGGUGGGUCCCUGGCUGCGAUCAGCAGCUGGGAUCAGCCGCGCAUGACACGGGCAUCGCUCCGAUGCCCGCGAUUAUGCACAGGACGUAAAUGUACGUCCCGGUGCGUUAAAUACCACCGCACCAGGACGUACAUUUACGUCCUGCGUCCUUAAGGGGUUAAAAUAAUUAUGAGCCCCCCAGAGCUAUAUUUAAGUUUCCUGGACACCUUAAGGGAACACAAUGGGGUUAGGUUUAGACCUAGCCCUAUGGGACGGAACACCAUCAAUUAGCAAAACAGCUUUACUUUUAAUAAUUGGUAAUGCUAUAGCAUAAGAGAUCAGCAGAAACACCCUCACUGUUUUUUUCUGUCCCUAUUUGGUCUGUACAGAUAUCUGGAUGGCUGGCCACUGUUGGGAGUGGCAGUUAACAUUGUCCCUCCACUAUGUGGCAUUAGUACAAGCGGCAAAGUAUUGAUUAUUGUUCAGCAGGAAAAUGAUGGGAGUAAUCAUGUGGAAAACAAGUAAAACUGUCUCUUCAAAUUCCUUCCUGCCACCGGCUGACAGUUUUUUACAUGCUAAAGAAAAACUUCAGGCACUAGAUGAGCCAGGACAAAACAGAAAAUAAAGCAGUGAUGACACAAACAAAGAUACGUGAAUGCGGAGGACUAUGUCAGAUUUGGUGGAUUGCGACGAUGACCAGCGUUUUUUUUUUAAAUGUCAAUGAAAGGGUUAAUGAGGGCUAAUGGGGGAGUGUUUUAUUAAAUAAAAAAUGUAUUUCAAUGUGUUGUGUCUUUUAUAAUUGAAUUUUCAGGCUUAGUAGUGGAAGGCAUCUAGAAGACAGAAUCCAUUACCAAGCCGGGGCUUGGCGGUCGCCGCCAAAACAGCUAGUGCUAACCCCCAAUUAUUACCCCGGUACCCACCGCCACAGGGGUUCCAGGAAGAGCCAGUACCAACAGGCCCGGAGCAUCAAAAAUGGCACUCCUGGGCCUAGGCGGUAACAGGCUGGUGUUAUUUAGGCUGGGGAGGGCCAGUAACAAUGGUCGCCCACCCUGGUAACGUCAGGCUGUUGCUGCUUGGUUGGUAUCUGGCUGAUACUGAAAAAAUGACGGAACCACAAACUUUUUAUUUAUUUAUUUACUUUAAAAAAAAAACGCAUAGGGUUCCCCCUAUUUUCAGUAUCACCCAGAUACCAACCAAGCAGCAACAGCCCGACGUUACCAGUUAACCUCGUUUAUUGAAAUAAAAAAAAAAUGCUGGUCAUUGUCGCAGUCCACCGAAUCUGACGUAGUCAUGCAGUGUGUUCCUAAACAGGGAGCCUCCAUUUGUUGCUAAACUACAACUCCCAUCAUGGUGGGCUGUAGUUAAGCAACAGCUGUAGUCUCCCAGUUUGGGAACACACUGCCAGAAAGGCUCUGUUCCCAUUAUGCAAAACGCAUAAUGUGAACAGAGAUCUGUCCCUCUGCCCUUGGACUACUAUUCCUAUCAUGGGACAGGCUGCUGAGGGAUUGCACUUGCACAUCCCCCUGCUGCAUGACUUUUAGAACUACUAUUCCCAUCAUGGACAGACUCUGCCCAUGAUGGGAGUUGUAGUCCAGGGACUGAGGUGCAGAUCGCAUUGGGUCAUUCUGCAGAGACCCACUGCGAUCCACAUUUAUUAACUGUAAAAGCAGGCGGUACAUGCGGCUACACUGCGCUGCCACCGGCUUCUAUAUACACUGUCAUAAUUCAUAAUCCCCGCCGCCGGGAGAGGGGAGCUCUGAUUGGUCAAUAGCUAUUCUCCAAUCAGAGCUCCCGUCUUCUGGCUCCGUCUUCUGGCUGAAUUAUGACAGUGUUUAUAGAAGCGGAGACGCAUGUGGAGACGCAUGUACCGCCGGCGUAAUGAAGAAAGCUGUGACCCUCCGUAUAGGGACACAGUUUUCUGCUUACAGCCCACUCCCUCUCACUCCAUCCCCGCUACCCUCCGUCAGGGGAAUGGGGACAGUUUCUCCGCACAUAUAGUUAAUAAAUACGGAUCGCAGCAGAUCUCCAGAGAAUGAUCUGCUGCGAUCCGCUUUUAAAUUAAAAAGCCGGCGGCAGAGGCGGCUCUAGACUGCGUAACUCAAACAUGAGGCCCCACAUCAUUUUCUGAAGACCCAUGGGGGGAAAUUUAUCAAAACUUGUGCAAAGUUAAAGUUGCCCAGUUGCUAUAGCAACCAAUCAGAUCACUUAUUUCAUUUUGAAGAGGCCUUGGUAAAAAUGAAAGAAGAAAUCUCAUUGGUUGCUAUGGACAACUUUUCCUCUAGACAAUUUUUGAUAAAUCUCCCCCAUGGUGAUCCAAUCGGCUAUGAGAUUGCUGUGCUGUCGCCGCAGCACAAAUCUCAAGUGUUGACGGGGCAGAUGUAAGAUCAGGGGCAUAACUAGUGUCCUAUGGACCCCAUGGCAAAUUCUGUCUAGUACACAGAGACUACAUUCACCAAUAUUACCAGUAUAAAAGUAGGAAUAUUAUCACCCUACAUAUUACCAUCAUAUUGUUACUGACCAAAUCCUGUAUACUGACACCAAUUUUACCAAUAAUACCAGUAUACAAGGAGGGAAAUUAUUACCAUUCAUAUUAUUACCAUCAUACUGUUACUGACCAAAUCCUGUAUACUGAAACCAAUAUUACUGAUAAUACAAGUACAAGAAAAUAAAAAUGGUCAGCACCUCCAGGCAAAAUGAAGCACAGGUGCUCACUGUUAGUUGUGUGUGUUAUCAGCAAUAAACAAAUAAUACUGCCACAUCAUGACCACGACUACCAUUGUGACUAACUCCAAUUGUUACUGUAUAAAAUUUACUAUAGAAAGACCAAUUCCCACAUACACUGACCAUAUAGUGGUAGAUACCAGAUGUACACAUUACUGUGACAUCACUGUGUAUUAUUCCUGUACUGUGACAUUAUUGUGUGUAUUAUCUCUGUACUGUGACAUCACUGUGUAUUAUCCCUGUACUGUGACAUCACUGUGUAUUGUCCCUGUACUGUGACAUCACUGUGUGUAUUAUCUCUGUACUGUGACAUCACUGUGUGUAUUAUUCCUGUACUGUGACAUUAAUGUGAGUAUUAUCCCUGUACUGUGACAUCACUGUGUAUAUUAUCUCUGUACCAUAACAUCACUGUGUGUUCUCCCUAGACUGCGACAUCACUGUGGAUACUUAAACUGCCCAGUGACAUCACCAUAUAUAUUA